rnacentral:lncRNA from 1 species
GUAAUAAUAUGACGUAAUAUAUAAAUUGACAUAUCGAAUUUGUCCGCUUUGAAUGAUCUAACGGAUGUGGCUUACAGAACCGCGAUACCUGUUCUUGAUGCGGAGCUCUUAGUUUGUAAACUUUCUUUCUCCAUUUUUUUUCCGAACGUUAAAAUGUUUUAAAUUU